ensembl:lncRNA
CUCUGCCAGUGCCUUUGUCAGCUGCCAGCUGUUACUUCCCUGGAAAAGGGGUCAGAAGGCUGCUAGUAGCUAAUAGCCAGCCAGCAGCUCCGAGUAAGAACCGUCCCUCAUGGGCUUUAGCUGCUGGCUGAUUGUCAGCCGAGAGCUACAAGUUCUGGUUUGAUAAAAGCCAGCUAUAGAUUUCAAACCUGCUUUUUUUUCUUUUUCCAUUUGUGCUCUGAAAUUGUCGCACACUCCAAAUGGAACUCGGGGCUGCACGACUGAGAAGUUCUGGAGAGAGUUGCCACUGGUGUCUGAGCGCCAGGGACCCUUCGAACAAGGACCAUUCCCAGGGGAGUGCAUGAUGGGAGUUUCUUCUCUUCCUCGUGGUGUGUCACAGUUUCACUCUGCGCUUUCAGCACUUGAAAGCAUAGAAUUUAAAAAUGGAAAAUCCAGCGUUGUCAAGAAUUGUGCAAAGAAAGCAAGUCACCCAUCUUCCACCCAAGCAUGUAGGAAGGAACAGACUACAACAAGGUAACGAAGGGAGGGGAAGUAACAUCCAUCUGGAAGUGAGACGGUUCUGGAUUCCUUCUCCAAAGACUAGCUGUGUGACCUUGGAGAAGUUACUCAGUGUCUCUGAGCUUCAGAGUCCUCCCAGAUAAAGUGGGAAUGACAGUAUACAGGACUGUUUGGGGGACUGAACGCACUAACAGGUAGUGUAUGGUAGGUCCUCAGUGAAGAGUUCUUCUCCUGUGAUGGUGGCUAAAAGCAUGUGUGUGUUAGCCUGAAAACACCAGUGGGGUCUCCUGGGGGCCAGAGGUGUUCAUUUCCAGACUCUGUGACACUUUCCCUGAAAUCUGUACUUCCCUGUGACUGCCUCAGGCAUGUUCACAUAGAAUUUUCUCGUACUGAGGACACUCUCUCUGAACAGUUUACAUCCGCAGGCUGCUUUUCAGGAGGCCCUGAGGUAGGAAAUGUUAAAUCAUUCUCCCAGGUGCCUGCCUUUCUGCUCAGGAUAAAUGGAGGCAGGAGGAAGGCCCAGCCAAGAGCAAUUAAAAGUCACACUACAGCGCUUGGGCUCAUCCCUCGGAGCCCUUAGGCCUCACAUCUGGGAAACAGCUGGUGGAAGAAAUGGAAAAAAAGAUGCCCCUUGUUCUUCCUGACGGGUUGUGUCCCAAAGGUAGCACCUCAGAGAAGCAUCUUCCAGGCUUCCCCAGUCCGUUUAUGGGCACCGAAGAGAAGUGGAAGCAUUCUCUUGUUUCUCCCAUGACGCUCUUCCUCUCUUUGCUGUCCUCAUCUCCAAACACAGACAGCCUUUUCAAAGUGUCCUGGUACCAACACUCCAGAGAAUGCUGUUUUCCCCUAACCUAAAAAAGAUUAUUAUACUAAUAAUUUCAAGGCAGAAAGUUCAAGGCCAAGGUAAUAAGUACUAUUUCUUUUAAUCUUUAUUCUUUUUAAUGAAUAAAGUACCACGCGCUUGUUGUGGAAAAGGGAAUCAAGGGCCCAUAUGCGCAAAUAGUCUAAGAGCUCUCUAUUCUCUCUCACUCCCCUCAGUCCCGCUCCCUGGAGGUGACUACCCCUUAGCAGUUUGG